rnacentral:rRNA from 1 species
UUUAAAUUGAGAGUUUGAUCCUGGCUCAGGAUGAACGCUGGCGGCGUGCUUAACACAUGCAAGUCGAGCGAUGAAGUUUCCUUCGGGAAACGGAUUAGCGGCGGACGGGUGAGUAACACGUGGGUAACCUGCCUCGUAGAGUGGAAUAGCCUUCCGAAAGGAAGAUUAAUACCGCAUAAUGUUGAAAGAUGGCAUCAUCAUUCAACCAAAGGAGCAAUCCGCUAUGAGAUGGACCCGCGGCGCAUUAGCUAGUUGGUGGGGUAACGGCCUACCAAGGCGACGAUGCGUAGCCGACCUGAGAG